CAGCCGCCGCGGUAAUACGGAGGGGGCUAGCGUUGUUCGGAAUUACUGGGCGUAAAGCGCACGUAGGCGGCUUGGUAAGUUAGAGGUGAAAGCCCGGAGCUCAACUCCGGAAUUGCCUUUAAGACUGCCGAGCUAGCAGGUGAGAGAGGUAAGUGGAAUUCCGAGUGUAGAGGUGAAAUUCGUAGAUAUCAGGAGGAACACCGGUGGCGAAGGCGGUUCUCUGGGAAUGUUCUGACGCUGAGGAGCGAAAGUGUGGGGAGCGAACAGGAUUAGAUACCCGAGUAGUCCCUGUCUCUUAUAC
rnacentral:rRNA from 1 species